CAAAACUCCUGUCAGGUGUGGUCGAUGGAGUCCUGUGCGUUAUUCAGAAGCUACCUCCGGCAAACACCGUACCCACAAUCCUGUGCCAGGUUUUCCACGUACUUACUCAGAUCAUCGGCUACGGGGAUAAUUUACUUCUGCAACUCCAGGGUGCGCUCAAGCCGGUGCUCGAGUUCCUUGUGAAAUGCCCUGACGAAACUUGCUGGAAAAUGGAGUGAUCACGAGGCAUCGUACUGGGACAUACAAUACAGUCCUGAUGAGCCUAAUAAA